GAUGAACGCUGACAGAAUGCUUAACACAUGCAAGUCAACUUGAACUUCGGUUUGGGUGGCGGACGGGUGAGUAACGCGUAAAGAACUUGCCUCACAGCUAGGGACAACAUUUGGAAACGAAUGCUAAUACCUGAUAUUAUGAUUUUAGGGCAUCCUAGAAUUAUGAAAGCUAUAUGCGCUGUGAGAGAGCUUUGCGUCCCAUUAGCUAGUUGGAGAGGUAACGGCUCACCAAGGCGAUGAUGGGUAGCCGGCCUGAGAGGGUGAUCGGCCACAAGGGGACUGAGACACGGCCCUUACUCCUACGGGAGGCAGCAGUGGGGAAUAUUGGACAAUGGACCAAGAGUCUGAUCCAGCAAUUCUGUGUGCACGAUGAAGUUUUUCGGAAUGUAAAGUGCUUUCAGUUGGGAAGAAAAAAAUGACGGUACCAACAGAAGAAGUGACGGCUAAAUACGUGCCAGCAGCCGCGGUAAUACGUAUGUCACAAGCGUUAUCCGGAUUUAUUGGGCGUAAAGCGCGUCUAGGUGGUUAUAUAAGUCUGAUGUGAAAAUGCAGGGCUCAACUCUGUAUUGCGUUGGAAACUGUGUAACUAGAGUACUGGAGAGGUAAGCGGAACUACAAGUGUAGAGGUGAAAUUCAUAGAUAUUUGUAGGAAUGCCGAAGGGGAAGCCAGCUUACUGGGACAGAUACUGACGCUGAAGCGCGAAAGCGUGGGUAGCAAACAAGAUUAAAUACCCAGGGUAGACCAAGGGGGGAAUUCACAGUGGAUUUCAGCUUUUCGGUGCCCGGCGACCUCGGGGGGGGGUUAUAUAUAUAAAAAAAUUAUACUG
rnacentral:rRNA from 1 species